rnacentral:rRNA from 1 species
UACGUAGGGGGCAAGCGUUGUCCGGAUUUAUUGGGCGUAAAGGGCGCGUAGGCGGUGCGGUAAGUCACCUGUGAAAUCUCCUGGCUCAACUGGGAGCUUGCAGGCGAAACUGCCGUGCUGGAGUGUGGGAGAGGUGCGUGGAAUUCCCGGUGUAGCGGUGAAAUGCGUAGAUAUCGGAAGGAACAUCAGUGGCGAAAGCGGCUUCCUGGACCAGUACCGACGUUCAGGCACGAAAGCGUGGGGAGCAAACAGG